rnacentral:rRNA from 1 species
CCUACGGGGGGCAGCAGUGAGGAAUAUUGGUCAAUGGGCGCGAGCCUGAACCAGCCAAGUAGCGUGAAGGAUGACUGCCCUACGGGUUGUAAACUUCUUUUAUAAAGGAAUAAAGUGAGGCACGUGUGCCUUUUUGUAUGUAUUUUAUGAAUAAGGAUCGGCUAACUCCGUGCCAGCAGCCGCGGUAAUACGGAGGAUCCGAGCGUUAUCCGGAUUUAUUGGGUUUAAAGGGAGCGUAGAUGGGUUGUUAAGUCAGUUGUGAAAGUUUGCGGCUCAACCGUAAAAUUGCAAUUGAUACUGGCAGCCUUGAGUACAGUUGAGGUAGGCGGAAUUCGUGGUGUAGCGGUGAAAUGCUUAGAUAUCACGAAGAACCCCGAUUGCGAAGGCAGCUUACUAAACUGUGUCUGACAUUGAUGCUCGAAAGUGUGGGUAUCAAACAGGAUUAGAUACCCUGGUAGUC